rnacentral:rRNA from 1 species
GGGCGUAAGCGUGCGUAGGCGGUGAGUUAAGUCUGUUGUGAAAUCCCCGGGCUCAACCUGGGAAUGGCAAUGGAUACUGGCUCGCUAGAGUGUGAUAGAGGAUGGUGGAAUUCCCGGUGUAGCGGUGAAAUGCGUAGAGAUCGGGAGGAACAUCAGUGGCGAAGGCGGCCAUCUGGAUCAACACUGACGCUGAGGCACGAAAGCGUGGGGAGCAAACAGGAUUAGAUACCCUGGUAGUCCACGCCCUAAACGAUGCGAACUGGAUGUUGGUCUCAACUCGGAGAUCAGUGUCGAAGCUAACGCGUUAAGUUCGCCGCCUGGGGAGUACGGUCGCAAGACUGAAACUCAAAGGAAUUGACGGGGGCCCGCACAAGCGGUGGAGUAUGUGGUUUAAUUCGAUGCAACGCGAAGAACCUUACCUGGCCUUGACAUGUCUGGAAUCCUGCAGAGAUGCGGGAGUGCCUUCGGGAAUCAGAACACAGGUGCUGCAUGGCUGUCGUCAGCUCGUGUCGUGAGAUGUUGGGUUAAGUCCCGCAACGAGCGCAACCCUUGUCCUUAGUUGCCAGCACGUAAUGGUGGGAACUCUAAGGAGACUGCCGGUGACAAACCGGAGGAAGGUGGGGGAUGACGUCAAGUCAUCAUGGCCCUUACGGCCAGGGCUACACACGUACUACAAUGGUCGGUACAGAGGGUUGCAAUACCGCGAGGUGGAGCCAAUCCCAGAAAGCCGAUCCCAGUCCGGAUCGUAGUCUGCAACUCGACUACGUGAAGUCGGAAUCGCUAGUAAUCGCGGAUCAGCUAUGCGCGGUGAUACGUUCCCGGGCUUGCACUCACGCCCGUC